AGUGGUCUUCAGUCAAGGGUAUACGAGUAGCUUUGCUCCCCUGCUAGAACCUACAAACAAGCUCUCAAGGUCCACUGUAGGAAUGUAGGGUAGUCAAGCUUAUGGACUACCCAAAGAACUGUGGUCCUUAGCAUGGCCCAGGUAAGCCACUAGUU
rnacentral:snRNA from 1 species